rnacentral:Y_RNA from 1 species
GGCUGGCACGAUGGUAGUGGAUUAUCAGAACUUAUUAACAUUAGUGUCACUAAAGUUGGUAUUCAACCCAUUGCUAAAUUUGGCUAAAAA